UACGGAGGGUGCGAGCGUUGUCCGGAAUCACUGGGCGUAAAGGGCGCGUAGGCGGCCUGGUAAGUAGGGGGUGAAAUCCUGCGGCUUAACCGAGGAACUGCCCUCCAAACUGCUUGGCUUGAGACCAGGAGAGGUGAGUGGAAUUCCCAGUGUAGCGGUGAAAUGCGUAGAUAUUGGGAGGAACACCAGUGGCGAAGGCGGCUCACUGGACUGGUACUGACGCUGAGGCGCGAAAGCGUGGGGAGCAAACGGG
rnacentral:rRNA from 1 species